GUCAGUGUCUUACAGUGGAUAAGGAACUGGGCUUGUAACCAAAAGGUCACAGGUUCGAUUCCUGGGUAGGACA
rnacentral:tRNA from 1 species